UGGCAGCUUUCCUACAUGAUCGUCACACUAAUCUAGAUACUAACCCACAGACAAAUGCCAUGAAUUUAGACGUCGCGAAAGCAUUCGGGCACCUCAAGCGACAAACUCGGUACAUCAGUUCAUCAUCACGGUGAACGAGAUACACUGAGCCACGGCUGAAUAAGACCGUGCAUAUGUGGAUGCAAGGGAGCGUGUUAGUGUCGAAUUGUUCACCCAAAUUGACAAAUUCUGUUACAUGCCACUGGCGAUUUUUCAUAUUUCUGUUGACUUUAAUAGAACGGACGCUUACAUACUAAUAAAUACUGGUUGUGCUAACCACUGAACAUUAUUGGAAAAUAUUUUUUGAAAGAUGAUUUUCAA